rnacentral:lncRNA from 1 species
GAUCUCGGCCAUACCUCCGACACCAAUGCAAUAAUUCGCCUGAUAGCGUGCUAGUUCGGGCUGUACGACGCCCUCACCGCCGACAUCAGUGCAAUGAUUCGCCUGACCGUGCGCCGACCCGAAUGACAUGCCGAGCCGUACUACGGCUUCGCCCUGUUACAUUGCAGGUAAACCGACCCCCGCCUAUAAAAGGGAGCCUUGGCCUCUCAGGAGGGGGUUGGAAGAUUGAAGCACUCUACAGACACUGUUCAUCUCCUUUCUACACUACUUGCCCCCUC